UUUGUUCUUGGACUAAACCCUGCUGCUGGCUUCCCUGGUUUUCCAGCUCACUAGUGGCAUAUCUUGGGACUUCUCAGCCUUCAAAAUUAACACUUCUCCUUCCUGCCAUCAUGUGAAGAAGGACAUGUUUGCUUCCCCAUUCUCCAUGACUAUAAGCUUCCUGACGCCUCCACAGCUAUGUGAAACUAAUGUGCUUUUUAGCAGCCUCAACAACAGUUAUCUGGAAGAAAAUGUGGUCUCUGUGAGGGCAAGGAUUCAACAUUUUUUCUAA
rnacentral:lncRNA from 13 species